UACAGAGGGUGCGAGCGUUGUUCGGAAUUAUUGGGCGUAAAGCGCAUGUAGGCGGGAUCUUAAGUCGCGUGUGAAAUCCCUCGGCUCAACCGAGGAAGUGCGCGCGAAACUGGGGUCCUUGAGUGCCGGAGAGGGUGGCGGAAUUCCCGGUGUAGAGGUGAAAUUCGUAGAUAUCGGGAGGAACACCAGAGGCGAAGGCGGCCACCUGGACGGACACUGACGCUGAGACGCGAAAGCGUGGGGAGCAAACAGG
rnacentral:rRNA from 1 species